rnacentral:rRNA from 1 species
UACGUAGGGGGCAAAUGUUGUUCGGAAUUACUGGGCGUAAAGCGCACGUAGGCGGAUUUGUUAGUCAGGGGUGAAAUCCCGGGGCUCAACCUCGGAACUGCCUUUGAUACUGCAAGUCUCGAGUCCGAUAGAGGUGGGUGGAAUUCCUAGUGUAGAGGUGAAAUUCGUAGAUAUUAGGAAGAACACCGGUGGCGAAGGCGGCCCACUGGAUCGGUACUGACGCUGAGGUGCGAAAGCGUGGGGAGCAAACAGG